UACGUAGGUGGCGAGCGUUGUCCGGAUUUACUGGGCGUAAAGAGCGCGCAGGCGGUCGUUCAAGUCGAGUGUGAAAGCCCCCGGCUCAACUGGGGAGGGUCAUUCGAUACUGAUCGACUCGAAGGCAGGAGAGGGAAGUGGAAUUCCCGGUGUAGUGGUGAAAUGCGUAGAUAUCGGGAGGAACACCAGUGGCGAAGGCGACUUCCUGGCCUGUUCUUGACGCUGAGGCGCGAAAGCUAGGGGAGCAAACGGG
rnacentral:rRNA from 1 species